GUUCCUCUUCGUUUGUCUCCACGGCCACAUCCUGUUCAACGAGGUCCUCGGUGGUCACUUCUGUGAGGUUCAUAAUAAUCUCAGGUGGUCCUAGAUCCAGAGGUGCCUCCUCCAUUUCAUCAUCUUCCAUGGCUGCACCGGUGGAGGUCAUACUUGUGGAUGAUGUCGACGUUGUAGAGGGUCUCGCUGCACCGGUGGAGGCGGUGGUCGCACUUGUAGGUGACGUUGAGGGUCUUGAUGCACCGGUGGCGACAACACUUGUGGAUGACGUAAUAGAGGGUCUGGCUGUAAAAUUGCCACUCGUUGCCAUAGGCACAAUAAAUGGAUCCAGAAAAGAAAGAAUGUAGCAGAAGCGCCAAGGCUGCUGGCCUGAAGCUGCUGACCCAGACCUCUUCUCUUUCUCUGCCCUUCUCUCUCUCUGAUACAUGGCCAGAGUCCUCUCCACUUCCUCCUAGUCUUCUUCUACAUAGACAUGAACAUGAUAAGCCAUACCAUCACCUAGCAUAACUAUAGUUAUUAGAUAGAUAUCAUGAACAUGUCACCUACUGUACACACAGACACACACACGGUUAUCUGACCAAAUUAUCAGGGGUACAGUAGUAUCUACCAUUUAUAUUACUAUGUAUCUGACAUACACACUCACACUCCUUCAAACAUGAUUAUUUGGUAAAGUUAUCAGGGG
ensembl:lncRNA